rnacentral:lncRNA from 1 species
AAUUGAAGCACUAAUUCAAAAAGAUAUAUGAAUCCUUAUGUUUAUUGCAGCAUUAUUUAUAAUAGCCAAGAUAUGGAAGCAACCUAUGCAUCCAUCAAUGAACAAAUGGAUAAAGUUAUAUAUCUCAUAUUUAAUGGAAUAUUACUCAGCCACAAAAAAGGAUGAAAUCUUACCAUUUGCAAGAACAUGGAUUGACCUAGAGGGUAUUAUGGUAAAUGAAAUAAGUCAGAAAAAGAAAAAUACCAUAUGAUUCACUUGUAUGUGGGAUCUAAAAAAAUUUUUUUCAAUGAAGAAGGAGACCCACAAAUAUAGCAAACAAACUGGUGAUUGCCAGAGGUGAGGGAUGAAGGGGUGAGAGGAUGGGUAAAAUGGGUGAAAGGGAGUAGAAGGUACAGACUUCCAGUUAUCGAAUACAUAAGUCAUAGAGAUGAAAGGUACAGCAUAGGAAAUAUAUUCAAUGGUUUUGUAAUAACAUUGUAUGGUGACAAAUGGUUGCUACUUUCAUGGUGAGUAUAGCAUAUUGUAUGGAGUUAUCAAAUCACUAUGUUGUAUACCUGAAACCAAUGUAACAUUGUUAUGUCAACUAUACUUCAACAAUAACAGCAAAAAAAGGAAGUUGGCAAAUGAUACAAAUAAAAACUUUUUUUUUUUUUUAGUUUUCCUGCACAUCACUGGAUAUAGACAGACAUUGAUAAAAAAAGAAGAGAAUCAGAAGGCUCUAGACAACCCAAGCCCUCACUCAAAUUCUGCUGUUUCAAGUAGAAAACAACCAACUUGUAACCUAAGUCUCUCCUUUUUUAAGAGGAAGUGGUAGUGGGAUAAAGAAAAGGAUGGCAUUUCCUACAGCAGCUGAGACUCUUAUUAACUGGUUAAAGAACCAACUCCUCAAUAAAGAAUUAGUCGAAUGAACCA